rnacentral:rRNA from 1 species
GCUACGGCCAUACCAGCCUGGGUACGCCCGAUCUCGUCUGAUCUCGGAAGCUAAGCCGGGUCGGGCCUGGUUAGUACUUGGAUGGGAGACCGCCUGGGAAUACCAGGUGCUGUAAGCA